CCCUGCAUGCGAAAGUGACCAUGGACUAUCUUGUGCCCUGAUCAUUAAUAGCAGAGGGAGAGGAAUUGCUGAAAGCAAUUCUCUGAGUUCCUUCCAAAUCCUGGAGCUCUCCCACA
rnacentral:snoRNA from 1 species